rnacentral:lncRNA from 1 species
AUGUGGGCUCAGCACCUAGCACAGGUGGUUACUGAGAGGCGGUGGGAUAAACAAGGAGGGCCACCCACCUACCCAAGUAGGGAAGGUCUGGAGAGCCUAGAGACUGCCCUGGCAGGGCAGGCCAAGUUCAACCACUGGCCCCUGUCCCUGGAGCUCUUCAGAGGGGUCUACUCUGCACAGUGGGCAUCGGUGAAAGGGCUGCACACAGGUCUCCUGGAGGGGAGCAAACCCCCCAACACACCAGCGGUGCCCACACAAGGGCCAGGCCCCUGGACUCCAGCCGCUGACCUGCUGUGGGUCAGGCAAGCUCUCCAGCUCUGCUUUCGACCCCGGGUCCACACUCGACAGCUCUUUCCCAGGGUAGCGGGGCCAUUAGAGAGGACACCGCGCUCUGCCAGGCCGCCCCCGCUGUCCCGCACCACCCCGAAUGCUGAGCCAGGACAAAGGGCCGGCCCAGGCCACCGACGGACACUCGGGUGGCCCCCGGCCGCCCCCGCAAACCGCGCGGGACUGGAGCAGCGACCCCGGGCGGCUGCCAUCCCCUGCCCUCCGCCUUCCUUGACCCCGACCCUGCUCCUCCUGUCCUCACCUCGCCUGGUCCCCUCGACCCCUUGACCCUAUGCCCCCCGACCGCCCUCUCCCUGAGCGGCGGCCGCUGGGAAAAGCAGCAGGAACAGCGCAGCGCCGCAGAGUGUCGGCCCCCAGCGCGGCGUCGGCCCGCGGACUCCGCUGGACGCCAUGGUCGCUGCAGCCUUGACGGUUGAUCGUCGUCUCCUUCGUCGUCUGGACAAGCCCCACCUCGGACCCCGGCCAGGCGCCUUCGCCCGGAAGAGCCGCACGCCGGAAGUGGGCGGGGCAACGGCCAGGCCACGGCGCAACAGGGGCCCCGCCCAUCGCCCUCCAGCCUGCUCCCAGCUGUUCGCGAUCCCGCCUCCCUGAGCGCGGCUCAGUGCGCCUGCGCG